rfam:Hypsizygus marmoreus strain 51987-8 scaffold_4, whole genome shotgun sequence.
GCCCCCGUUGUCUAAUGGUUAUGACGUCAGACUUCUAUCUCUUAGCGGGUAUCUGGAGGUUGCGGGUUCGAAUCCCGCCGGGGGUU